rnacentral:rRNA from 1 species
AUACGUAGGCGGCGAGCGUUGUCCGGAAUGAUUGGGCGUAAAGGGCGCGUAGGCGGCGCGGUAAGUCUGGAGUGAAAGUCCUGCUUUCAAGGUGGGAAUUGCUUUGGAUACUGCCGCGCUUGAGUGCAGGAGAGGUUAUCGGAAUUCCCGGUGUAGCGGUGAAAUGCGUAGAGAUCGGGAGGAACACCAGGGGCGAAGGCGGGUAACUGGACUGCAACUGACGCUGAGGCGCGAAAGUGUGGGGAGCAAACAGGAUUAGAUACCCUGGUAGUCCACACUGUAAACGAUGAAUGCUAGGUGUAAGAGGUAUCGACCCCUUUUGUGCCGGAGUCAACACAAUAAGCAUUCCGCCUGGGGAGUACGGUCGCAAGGUUGAAACUCAAAUGAAUUGGCGGGG